UACGUAGGGAGCAAGCGUUGUCCGGAAUCAUUGGGCGUAAAGCGCGCGUAGGUGGCUUCGUAAGUCCGUUGUGAAAGUCAAAGGCUCAACCUUUGAAAGCCGAUGGAUACUGCGGAGCUAGAGUACGGAAGAGGCGAGUGGAAUUCCUGGUGUAGCGGUGAAAUGCGCAGAUAUCAGGAGGAACACCGGUGGCGAAGGCGGUUCUCUGGGCAUUACCUGACGCUGAGGAGCGAAAGUGUGGGGAGCGAACAGG
rnacentral:rRNA from 1 species